rnacentral:tRNA from 1 species
GAGGGUAUAGCUCAGUGGUAGAGUGUAUGCUUAGCAUGCACAAGGCCCUGGGUUCAAUCCUCAGUACCUCCA